rnacentral:pre_miRNA from 1 species
GGGGGGAGCGCCGGAUCUUGGGCCGUGUUCCCGGCGCCCUGUGCUCUGGGGCCUGUGCUGUUGGAAUUGUGCUCCCGGCAGCACAGCCCCCU